CUGAAGUGAGAUGGGACACAGGCUGCAGAAGUCAAGUCACAGAGAUAUAUGCCUUGCUGAUGGUUGAUGGGCUAAAUUCUAGGUCUUUCCAACCUAGAUCCACACUCUUUUGGCAGCAGGCCUGGUCACUAAAAGCAACCCAGAUUAUCAGUCAGGGUCAGAAAAAUGGCUCGGCAGGUGAAGGUGCCUGUCCCCAAGCACAAUGACUUGAGUUUGAUACCCAGAACCUACAUGGUAAAAUGAAGGAACCAACUCCAGCAAGCUGUCCUCUGACUUCCACAGGCUUCAACGAGGCUGAUGGUAUCCGACGAUGUCCUUGCCACUGUUGUCCACUGCAAGGUGUACAUUGUGGAGAAGGCCAUUGGUUUGCCUCAAGAGCUGGAGAAAUUUCUCAGCAAUCAGAUUAAGUUCAGAAGCCAGCCAUUGGGUUUCUUCUAUAACAACCACAUGAGGAACAUUGAGACACAAGGGUAAUGAGGAAAAUCCUUUAACA